AUUGAACGCUGGCGGCAGGCCUAACACAUGCAAGUCGAACGGUAACAGGAAACAGCUUGCUGUUUCGCUGACGAGUGGCGGACGGGUGAGUAAUGUCUGGGAAACUGCCUGAUGGAGGGGGAUAACUACUGGAAACGGUAGCUAAUACCGCAUAACGUCGCAAGACCAAAGAGGGGGACCCUCGGGCCUCUUGCCAUCGGAUGUGCCCAGAUGGGAUUAGCUUGUUGGUGGGGUAACGGCUCACCAAGGCGACGAUCCCUAGCUGGUCUGAGAGGAUGACCAGCCACACUGGAACUGAGACACGGUCCAGACUCCUACGGGAGGCAGCAGUGGGGAAUAUUGCACAAUGGGCGCAAGCCUGAUGCAGCCAUGCCGCGUGUAUGAAGAAGGCCUUCGGGUUGUAAAGUACUUUCAGCGGGGAGGAAGGGAGUAAAGUUAAUACCUUUGCUCAUUGACGUUACCCGCAGAAGAAGCACCGGCUAACUCCGUGCCAGCAGCCGCGGUAAUACGGAGGGUGCAAGCGUUAAUCGGAAUUACUGGGCAUAAAGCGCACGCAGGCGGUUUGUUAAGUCAGAUGUGAAAUCCCCGGGCUCAACCUGGGAACUGCAUCUGAUACUGGCAAGCUUGAGUCUCGUAGAGGGGGGUAGAAUUCCAGGUGUAGCGGUGAAAUGCGUAGAGAUCUGGAGGAAUACCGGUGGCGAAGGCGGCCCCCUGGACGAAGACUGACGCUCAGGUGCGAAAGCGUGGGGAGCGAACAGGAUUAGAUACCCUGGUAGUCCACGCCGUAAACGAUGUCGACUUGGAGGUUGUGCCCUUGAGGCGUGGCUUCCGGAGCUAACGCGUUAAGUCGACCGCCUGGGGAGUACGGCCGCAAGGUUAAAACUCAAAUGAAUUGACGGGGGCCCGCACAAGCGGUGGAGCAUGUGGUUUAAUUCGAUGCAACGCGAAGAACCUUACCUGGUCUUGACAUCCACGGAAGUUUUCAGAGAUGAGAAUGUGCCUUCGGGAACCGUGAGACAGGUGCUGCAUGGCUGUCGUCAGCUCGUGUUGUGAAAUGUUGGGUUAAGUCCCGCAACGAGCGCAACCCUUAUCCUUUGUUGCCAGCGGUCCGGCCGGGAACUCAAAGGAGACUGCCAGUGAUAAACUGGAGGAAGGUGGGGAUGACGUCAAGUCAUCAUGGCCCUUACGACCAGGGCUACACACGUGCUACAAUGGCGCAUACAAAGAGAAGCGACCUCGCGAGAGCAAGCGGACCUCAUAAAGUGCGUCGUAGUCCGGAUUGGAGUCUGCAACUCGACUCCAUGAAGUCGGAAUCGCUAGUAAUCGUGGAUCAGAAUGCCACGGUGAAUACGUUCCCGGGCCU
rnacentral:rRNA from 1 species